GAACUAUGAUGAGCACUUAUCCCGAAGCUGAUCUCCUUUUGAUGAGCCAAUCUAUGGAUCUGACUGCUGAGUU